CCUACGGGGGACAGCAGUGAGGAAUAUUGGUCAAUGGGCGAGAGCCUGAACCAGCCAAGUCGCGUGAAGGAUGACGGCCCUACGGGUUGUAAACUUCUUUUGUCAGGGAGCAAUUGAGUCCACGUGUGGUCUUAGCGAGAGGACCUGAAGAAAAAGCAGCGGCUAACUCCGGGCCAGCAGCCGCGGUAAUACGGAGGAUGCGAGCGUUAUCCGGAUUUAUUGGGUUUAAAGGGUGGGUAGGCGUCAUAUCAAGUCAGCGGUAAAAAUUCGGGGCUCAACCCCGUCGUGCCGUUGAAACUGCUGUUCUUGAUUGGGCGAGCAGUAUGCUGAAUGCGUGGUGUAGCGGU
rnacentral:rRNA from 1 species